rnacentral:rRNA from 1 species
UACGUAGGGCGCAAGCGUUGUCCGGAAUUAUUGGGCGUAAAGAGCUCGUAGGCGGUUUGUCGCGUCUGCUGUGAAAACCUAAGGCUCAACCUUGGGCUUGCAGUGGGUACGGGCAGACUAGAGUGCGGUAGGGGUGACUGGAAUUCCUGGUGUAGCGGUGGAAUGCGCAGAUAUCAGGAGGAACACCAAUGGCGAAGGCAGGUAUCUGGGCCAUCACUGACGCUGAGCUGCGAAAGCUAGGGGAGCAAACAGG